rnacentral:rRNA from 1 species
AUUGAACGCUGGCGGCAGGCCUAACACAUGCAAGUCGAACGAGUGGCGGACGGGUGAGUAAUGUCUGGGAAACUGCCUGGUGGCGGGGGAUAACUACUGGAAACGGUAGCUAAUACCGCAUACCAUCAGAUGUGCCCAGAGGGGAUUGGCUUGUUGGUGGGGUAACGGCUCACCAAGGCGACGAUCCCUAGCUGGUCUGAGAGGAUGACCAGCCAAUCUGGAAGUGAGAAACGGGCCGGAAUCCUACGGCAGGCAGAAGGGGGGAAGAGUGCAGAAGGGGCGCAAGGCUGAUGCAGCCAUGCCGGGUGUAUGAAGAAGGCCUUGGGGUUGUAAAGUACUUGCAGCGGGGAGGCGGUACCCGCAGAAGAAGCACCGGCUAACUCCGUGCCAGCAGCCGCGGUAAUAC